rnacentral:rRNA from 1 species
CACGUAGGGGGCGAGCGUUGUCCGGAUUUAUUGGGCGUAAAGAGCUCGUAGGCGGCUCGGUAAGUCGGGUGUGAAACCUCCAGGCUCAACCUGGAGACGCCACUCGAUACUGCCGUGGCUAGAGUCCGGUAGAGGAGCGUAGAAUUCCUGGUGUAGCGGUGAAAUGCGCAGAUAUCAGGAGGAACACCGAUGGCGAAGGCAGGUCUCUGGGCCGAUACUGACGCUGAGGAGCGAAAGCGUGGGGAGCGAACAGG